rnacentral:tRNA from 1 species
AAAAAUUUAGUUAAAUUAUAACAUUGACUUGUCAAGUCAAAAUUAUUUUUAAAAAUAAUUUUUA